GACGAACGCUGGCGGCGUGCUUAACACAUGCAAGUCGAACGGUAAGGCCCUUCGGGGUACACGAGUGGCGAACGGGUGAGUAACACGUGGGUGAUCUGCCCUGCACUUCGGGAUAAGCCUGGGAAACUGGGUCUAAUACCGGAUAGGACUACUGCCUGCAUGGGUGGUGGUGGAAAGAUUUUGCGGUGUGGGAUGGGCCCGCGGCCUAUCAGCUUGUUGGUGGGGUGAUGGCCUACCAAGGCGACGACGGGUAGCCGGCCUGAGAGGGUGACCGGCCACACGGGGGUUGAGAUACGGCCCAGAGUCCUACGGGAGGCAGCAGUGGGGAAGAUUGCACAAUGGGCGCAAGCCUGAUGCAGCGACGCCGCGUGAGGGAUGACGGCCUUCGGGUUGUAAACCUCUUUCAGCACCGACGAAGCGCAAGUGACGGUAGGUGCAGAAGAAGGACCUGCCAACUACGUGCCAGCCGCCGCAGUAA
rnacentral:rRNA from 1 species